AAAUGUGCACUAGAACUAUCUAUUGUACAAACAUUGAUAAGAAGGUUACUCAAACAGAUAUUAAACUCUUUUUUGAAUCACUCUGUGGAGAGGUUUAUCGCCUAAGGCUGCUAGGGGACUAUCAUCAUUCUACUCGAAUUGCUUUUGUGGAGUUUGUGAUGGCUGAAAGUGCAAUAGCUGCUCUCAACUGUAGUGGUGUUGUUCUUGGAUCAUUGCCAAUAAGG
rnacentral:misc_RNA from 1 species